rnacentral:miRNA from 1 species
GCGGCUUCAAAACUGAGGGGUGGUCACCCUAAUCCUGGACGAGCCCCCAAAUGAGAGGUUCCCGAGAGGGGAGACUCCUCAAGUCACAGGCGACGAUGCAAACCCCAAUCAGUCACGA